rnacentral:lncRNA from 1 species
GCAGUGCUACGAUUUCAAAGUCAGCUGGUUGCAACCUUCCCCGACCGUUGCUGCUGUCGCGGUCGAACUCCCCUCUACCAAUCUGAAUCGGAAAUUCUGAAUGGCAAGGGUCAGAAGGUGCUGGGUUGUGGUGAAAAAGACACAGAUUCGCUUCAGCUUUGUAUGAAGUGACCAGCUAUCCAACGCUUUAUUGGUACCGACUAUGGUUCUUAGGGUGUAGACGUCUGUGAAGAUCUUGCGAUGUUGAUUAGACACAUCUCAUGGCCAGCUCUAUGACAGUAGACCUGUUUUACCUUGUUCCUCAUGCACGGAAGCUCGCUUUAGCUUGUCCCUGACAGCGACGGUAUCUCAGCGAAUAAAAGUCUCCUUCGUAGAAAAAGGUUCCUGCAUCUGGUGAAUCGUGAGAGGCGACGGGAUAUUUGUGUUCCGUAGGGAGGCAUCGGAUGCGUUUAAAAAAGAGAAAGACGCCGCCGUCAAGAUCCAGAAGUUCUAUCGCGGCGCUAGGGAACGUCAGAUAUACGCGAGGAAGCUGUUAGUCUAUAGAAUGUUCAGUCCUAUGCAGUGUAUUGCGGCAGGAAGCGAAACCGCCGUUUGCAUUAAGGAACUAUUUGUUGCCUCCCCCUCUGAUGAAGCUCCUAGGGCAAACCAUGCGCUUGUGACGCGAUAAGCGUGAGUAGGGAAGGCAAUGCGAUCAGGAUACAUCUUACGCUAGGAGGACUCAAAAAAAAACUUUCUGUACGGAUUUAUGGUGGAAGAACACGGUAUUCUUAGUUCAGAGAUGACAGCUGGUCGUGCACAAGACUUCGUCUUGUAGAUUCCGCUUCGAUCGGGCCGUGGACAUUGAAUGUUUAUCUUCCCAGGUUCCUGGUGGGAAAACUUCAACAGCUUUAUCGGAGAAACCGAGGCAAACAAAGGGCCGCUUUGAAAAGAGCAGAGGAGCUUCGCCACCGCGAGGAACUCCUCGUGACCGCCUUGUGCUCUACGAUCCAACGAUUGUAAGUGGAGGGAAUAGACGGUGCCGCUUCAAUCUUUCGACGAAGAUAAAUAAUGUUGCAUCCCCCCUUUGGAAAAGCAUCUAAAGGGGCAAUGGAUCACAUAUUUGUCCGCAAGGUUACGGUAAGAGUGGCUUCGUGAUAUAGUGGCGACAUAUGAAUCGGCGCCGAUUCCUCCGCGUUGUAAAGGACUAACGUAUUUCCGAGCAGCUUUCGGGGCGAACGGAGUCGUCGAAAAAUUUUCUCCUUCCAAGAUCGCAAACGUUUUGCGGAGCGUAUUGCUCGAGAAGCAGAGGAGAGAAGGACGGCCUUGAAAACUGAAGAAGAACGGCUACGAACGGAGAGGAAGGUCUUGGCGUAUAGGGAGGCAACAGAACAUUUCGAGAAAAAUGCCGCGAGGGCUCAUCAUUUGAUUUCAACAGCUUCUAUCCCCGGAAUAUUCCGGCCAGCACCGCGGUGCCAUCCUGCGUCACUAUGCAAAUCCCCAAACGGACACUGUACAGCUUGCUACUGCAGACAAUCGCCUCCUGGCGCCAGCUGCUGCGGCCCGAAGUUGGCUUUUGGGAAACCUGUCGAUGAGUUGCUACAGAUGCAUGCAAGGUCUAACCGCCAGAAGAAGGCAUGAAGCAUACGCUGAUGUACACCCGCAAUGCAAGUUAGUGAAUGAUUGACCUGAGCGUCCAGAAAAGAGGGUGAAAUGUAAAAGGUGUGCUGCCGAGGGACGACUGUAUGCAUGAAGUUAGUCUGAACCAUGCCGUCAAGCUACUCGAUAUUGGGGAUAUAACUAGCAUCUCGUUUGGGUUCUCAAGAGCAUAUGCUCAUGUUUGUUGUUUGCGCGAGGACACUGCGACGGGGUGACCGAAGAGCGAGGAUGCUUCAUCGUAAUCCUUCAACUGUCUUUUGUCAGCAAGAAAAUAUUUUUGCAGCACGGCUACAGAAGAGCACUCUUGCGUUCGAAGUCGGAAACUAAGGAAUGAAACAACUCCUUGUUAUAGUGCCGUUUCGCGGAGGCUGGCGUUAGGCACAGGACCACGGAGUCUCUGAGACUCUUGCGUGGGCCGUUGCUGAAGUUUCCACUGUGUAGGCUAAAAUGCAGUAUUG